CAAUAAGAGUGUUUAUGGCACUCUUCCAAAAAUCCAUACCCACCUUGUGUGCAACGUAAGAAGAAAAAAGACGCGAGUCAUGGGGGACCCCAAGCUGGUAACAGCAAAAGGAAGCCCAAGUCUGGCCCUUUUUUCUUUUCCACAUACACCUUUCUAUUAGUUCCUAUUGUCUGAAGCUGUUAGAGAAUGACUAAUUCUUAAACA
rnacentral:misc_RNA from 1 species